UUAUAUAUCAAAACGUGCGGCUUCAUCGGGAAUCCCGGGCUAUGACUUUUCUAAGAAAUUCGUCAUUUUUUCGCAGAAUUAUUCGCAAAAAACUGCGCAAAAAGUCCCAUAGAAAAUGAAUGGGGAGUGAAAAAAAUCGGCUCAAAAAAUCCACUAUUUUCCAAACGCCACUCCUUCGCCAUACGUUCACCUAGAAACUUCAUUUAACCAUCAAAACGCAGUGAUUUUUCUUGUCUCCACAGGAAUGUAUUUUAUGUCAGGCUGAGAUUUACAGUUUUUGAUCAGUGAGUCCUCAAAAAAGUGAAAAUUCUCAAAAUCUGCUCUGGUUAGAGUGCGGCAUGUCAGUUGGUAGAGUGGAGGAGAGGUGAAAAAUUCGCCUGAAAAUUUCACGAUCGCAUCGCCCUCACGACCAAACUAUAAAUGUUAGGGGAAUGAAAUUUGGUCAGAUUGUAAACAAUUUUCCUGGGAUUCAAAUGAAUCCAAGUUUGAAGACCUAGCUCUUUCUGACGUGAGAUGGCAGGCAGCAGUUUAGACCAAAGUCGCACCGUUCUCUCCAUAAGAACCAAUGUAAACUGAAUCAUCUGCCUCAUGGAGGGACAGUGUUUUUUAAAUCGCUGUAACUCGGUCAUUUCUCACAAGAUUUGGAAAAUAAUUACAUUUAUGGAAAGCCACAGCCUUCCUCUCGCUCACGGUCAUUUUAGUUUUCAGCUACCAUUAACGGUUCGCCCACAAUUAGCGCCAGAACGAGAUGUUGCGCGCUGCUGCUGAGAAGCACUUUUUUGCUGUCUGUGGCAGGCACCGUUGCUAUGGGGGCCCAUAGCAACCGCUCUUACACACGCGCAGGCAUGGUCGCACGCACACACACAGACUCAUUGGUGUGCCACACCCACCUUCACACCCAAUACCUCCACAGGAGCUGCAUUUCAGCCUGAAAAUCAGUUCAACCUCUCAGCUUCACACAGCCUUUACAGCAGGGGUGUCAAACUCACUUCCAACACACCUGAUUCAAAUGAUCAGGCUCGUUAUCAGGCUUCUGCUGAGCUUAAUGAUAGUGUAUCAUUUGAAUCAGGUGUGUUGUAAGAAGGAAACAUCUAAAACAUAGAGGAUAGUGGUCCUCCAGAAACUGAGUUUGACACCCCUGCUUUAGAGUAACUCCAAUCCAAAUGUUGACCAGGUGAGAUCUUCCUGUCUUUCCCUUUCAAAAUAAAAGCACAGCACAAUUUCAAAAUAAAAGCCUGCGAUGGGCCUGAAAACACCAGUUAAACCUCUCAGCUUCACACAGCCUUUACAAUAACUCCAAUCCAAAUUUUGACCAGGUGAGAUCUUCCUGUCUCUGCCUUUCAAAAUAAAAACACAGCACAAUUUCUAAAUAAAAGCCUGCGACAGACUGGAAAUGCCAGUUAAACAUCUCAGCUUCACACAGCCUUUAGAGUAACUCCAAUCCAAUUAUUGAC